rnacentral:rRNA from 1 species
ACGAACGCUGGCGGCGUGCCUAAACACAUGCAAGUCAACUUGACUGAAGGAGCAAUCUGACAGUAGAGUGGCGCAAGGGUGCGUAACGCGUAAGUAACUUGCCCAAGGUAAGGAAUAACGUCGAGAAAUCGGCGCUAAUACCUCAUAAUGCAGCGGAUCCGCAUGGAUAUGUUGUUAAAGGUUUACCGCCUUGGGAUAGGCUUGCGUCUGAUUAGCUAGUUGGUGUGGUAACGGCACACCAAGGCUACGAUCAGUAACUGGUCUGAGAGGAUGAUCAGUCACACUGGAACUGAGACACGGUCCAGACUCCUACGGGAGGCAGCAGUGAGGAAUAUUGGGCAAUGCUCGAAAGAGUGACCCAGCAACGCCGCGUGGAGGAUGAAGGUAUUCUAUAUCGUAAACUCCUGUGAGAGCAGACGAAAGACAGAUUAUUAAUCUGGAUGACUGUAUGCUCAGAGGAAGCCCCGGCUAACUACGUG